AGCUGGUGCCGCGGCUUCCGGCCCCGGCGGCCAGCUCCACCCAGCGUGCAGCGCGCGUGCGCAACUCCGGCAGGUGUGUGUGGCGACUGUCGGCCAGCGCUCUGCAGCGGACGAGAGGGGCCGGCCCUGACGACCGGUUCUCGGAUAGCGGUUGAGAAUUCACAUUUACUAACCAAGAAAGUGAAAGGGUGAAGAUGAGCAGCCGAAGGAAGCGUGCUCCCCCGAUGAAGGUGGAUGAGGAAAGGCAGCAGCAGCUUCACUGGAACAUGCAUGAGGACCUGAGGAAUGAGCCACUCACCUUGACUGCUGAGGAGCAGGCCUGCUCAGAUGCAGACUCUUCUGAUUGCAUCAUCAUUGAUGAUGACCCUCCUGAAAGUGCAGUUCACAGAGAUAAAAGGAGAUGUUCAGAGACUGUGAGCAUCUUAGAAUCCAUUGAAAAAGAGCCCCCUUUGUCUGUGACAUUGAAUGUUACAAUUUCGCCCUAUUGUGUGGAUCAUUGUUGGAAAGCAUUUCUGGGAGAUUUUGCUCUUCAGCUUCUCCGCAACGAGAGUUUAGUUGAACAUUUUUCUGAAAGGACUUUUACAUUGAUGAGUUCAGAGUCAAGCAGUCAGUUUCUGAUCUAUGUUCAUUCAGAAUGUAAAAAUGUAGAGAAACAAGAAAAUUUACUUAAAGGAUCAGCCAGUGUUUGUGGCAAGGCUAUUCGAGUGGAAUCCUCCUUCAGUAGUGACAUGUUACAGGAUUUGGCCUGGCUACAGAAGAGAAGAGGAAUAAAACUCUACCAGAGACCAGAAGGAAGUCAUACAAUCAAGGUUGGAAUUUACAUCUUGGAAGCUGGCCUAACAAAACUAGACUUCAUGAGUGAUGCAGGUUCCAGAAUGAAAAAGUUGAAUCAGCUCAUGAAGAGAGUGAUGGAAAAGUUACAUAAUUUUAUUAUUCCAGCUGUGCUGGAAGAAGAGGAGGAGGAUUCAGAGAGUGAGCCAGAGAGCCAAGACAUUGAUGAGCUCUAUCACUUUGUGAAGCAAACACACCAGCAAGAAACACAGUCAGUCCACGUGGAUGUCCAGCACCCUGCACUGAUUCCAGUGCUGAGACCUUACCAGAGAGAGGCAGUCAACUGGAUGUUACAGCAAGAGCAAUUCAGAAGCACUCCUGUUGGGGAUAACUCCCUGCACUUCUUGUGGCGAGAAAUUGUUACACCUGAUGGCUUGAAACUAUACUAUAAUCCAUAUACAGGCUGCAUCAUUCGAGAUUUCCCACAUGCUGGGCCACAGUUGCUUGGUGGAAUCUUAGCAGAUGAGAUGGGUCUUGGAAAGACAGUGGAAGUUCUGGCUCUGAUUCUGACACAUACCCGACAAGAUGUCAAACAGGAUGCUCUCACCCUUCCUGAGGGAAAAGUGGUAAAUUAUUUCAUCCCAACUCAUUGUCCUAGAGGAAAAGUGAAAAAUAGAGAAAUCCAGGAUACAGAGUAUGAACCAAAAGAGAAAGUUCACUGUCCUCCUACACGUGUGAUGAUCCUGACAGCUGUGAAAGAAAUGAAUGGGAAGAAAGGAGUUUCUAUUCUUUCUAUCUAUAAGUAUGUCAGCUCUAUAUUCAGAUAUGAUGUUCAGCGGAACCGGAGUCUUCUGAAGAGGAUGUUGAAAUGUUUAAUCUUUGAAGGUCUUGUCAAACAGAUCAAAGGCCAUGGCUUCUCUGGGACUUUUACAUUGGGGAAGAAUUACAAAGAAGAUGUAUUUGAUAAAACAAAAAAGCAGACAGUAGGGAGUCCACGAAAAAUUGAGAAAGAAUUAAGGAAAUCAGUGAACAAGGAUACAGAUUCUGAAUACCUGCCAUCAAACACUUCUGAUGAUGAUGAUCCUUAUUACUAUUACUGUAAGACAAGAAAAAGCCGUAGUAAGUUGAAGAAGCCUGUUUUACUCACUAAAAAGGAAGAGGGUCAGCCUGUUAAUCUGGAUUCCCAAGUUGAUGCUCCAGCUGCUGGAGACUCUGCAAGUACUGAUGAUGCUCAGGUGUCAGAAAGCACAUGCGUCUCUGAAGAUGGGCAAACCCAAGAAGCAAAAGACCAUGCUGAGUCUCCAAACCCUGCUGCCAAGGAGUUGGCACAGUCUAACACUGCAAGUCCUUGUGAGAUGCCUGAUUACCGUUUUGAGUGUAUAUGUGGUGAAUUUGACCAGAUUGGCCGCAAGCCAAGAGUUCAGUGUCUGAAGUGUCACCUGUGGCAGCAUGCGAAGUGUGUGAAUUAUGAGGAGAAGAAUCUGAAGGUUAAGCCUUUUUAUUGCCCCCACUGCCUUGUUGCCAUGGAGCCAGUGUCAACAAGAGCAACUCUUAUCAUCUCUCCAAGCUCCAUUUGCCACCAGUGGGUGGAUGAAAUCAACCGGCAUGUGAGAUCAUCAUCUCUUCGAGUUUUGGUAUAUCAAGGAGUGAAGAAAGAUGGCUUCUUACAGCCUCAUUUUUUGGCAGAACAAGAUAUAGUUAUCAUUACCUAUGAUGUUCUUCGUUCAGAACUAAACUAUGUCGAUAUCCCACAUAGCAAUAGUGAAGAUGGGCGUCGCCUGAGGAACCAGAAGCGUUAUAUGGCCAUUCCCAGCCCUUUGGUAGCAGUCGAAUGGUGGAGGAUCUGUCUUGAUGAAGCUCAGAUGGUCGAAUGUCCUACAGUAAAAGCUGCAGAAAUGGCCCAGCGUCUGACCGGGAUUAAUCGGUGGUGCAUCAGUGGCACUCCAGUGCAGAGAGGAUUGGAAGAUCUUUUUGGGCUGGUGGUCUUUCUUGGGAUUGAACCUUAUUGUGUCAAACACUGGUGGAUUCGACUUCUUUAUCAUCCAUACUGCAAGAAGAAUCCUCAGCACCUGUACAGUUUUAUUGCCAAGAUAAUGUGGAGGUCUGCAAAGAAAGAUGUCAUUGACCAAAUCCAGAUUCCACCUCAGACUGAAGAAAUGCACUGGCUCCAUUUUUCCCCUGUGGAGAGACAUUUCUAUCACCGGCAGCAUGAGGUGUGCUGCCAGGAUGCCGUAGUAAAGCUCAGGAAGAUCUCUGACUGGGCCCUGAAACUGAGCAGCUUGGACAGAAGGACUGUCUCCUCCAUCCUGUAUCCACUGCUGCGGCUCCGGCAGGCCUGCUGCCAUCCACAGGCUGUUCGUGGGGAGUUCUUGCCACUCCAGAAGAGCACCAUGACAAUGGAAGAGUUGCUGACAUCUUUGCAGAAGAAAUGUGGAACGGAAUGUGAAGAGGCCCACCGGCAACUUGUUUGUGCCCUUAACGGCUUAGCAGGCAUUCACAUUAUUAAAGGUGAAUACGCCUUGGCAGCGGAGCUCUACAGAGAGGUACUACGUUCAUCUGAGGAGCACAAAGGAAAACUCAAAACCGAUUCACUUCAAAGACUUCAUGCCACGCAUAACUUAAUGGAGUUGUUGGUAGCCAAACACCCAGGGAUACCUCCCACUUUGAGAGAUGGCAGACUUGAAGAAGAGGCCAAGCAGCUCCGAGAACACUAUAUGAGUAAGUGUAACACAGAAGUCGCCGAAGCCCAGCAAGCUCUGCAGCCUGUGCAGCAGUCCAUCAGGGAGCUCCAGCGGAAGAUUCAUUCUAAUUCUCCUUGGUGGCUGAAUGUAAUCCAUAGAGCAAUGGAAUUUUCUGUUGAUGAAGAACUUGUUCAGCGGGUGCGAAAUGAAAUAAGCAGCAACUACAAGCAACAAACUGACAAGCUCUCUAUGUCAGAGAAGUUUCGUGACUGCAGAGGACUUCAGUUCUUACUUACAACACAGAUGGAAGAGCUCCAUAAGUUCCAGAAGCUAGUGAGGGAGGCUGUGAAGAAGCUGGAGAAGCCUCCGUCCCGUGAUGUGAUUGAGUCUGCAACAGUCUGCCACCUGCGGCCAGCUAGACUCCCUCUCAACUGCUGUGUCUUUUGUAAAGCUGAUGAAUUGUUCACAGAGUAUGAAUCAAAGCUAUUUUCUAACACAGUCAAAGGCCAGACUGCAAUCUUUGAAGAAAUGAUAGAAGAUGAAGAAGGCCUUGUGGAUGAUAGAGCACCGACCACUACCAGAGGCCUGUGGGCCGUCAGUGAGACAGAGCGAUCUAUGAAAGCAAUACUAUCAUUUGCAAGAUCACAUAGGUUUGAUGUUGAAUAUGUAGAUGAAGGAAGUGUUUCAAUGGAUCUCUUCGAGGCAUGGAAGAAGGAAUAUAAGUUACUUCAUGAAUACUGGAUGACUCUGAGAAAUCGUGUAUCUGCUGUUGAUGAACUUGCAAUGGCUACAGAGCGACUAAGAGUGCGCCAUCCCAAAGAGCCAAAGCCAAACCCACCUGUCCAUCACAUCAUUGAACCACAUGAGGUUGAACAGAAUCGUAUAAAACUGGUGAAUGAUAAAGCUGUUGCUACAUCACAGCUUCAGAAGAAACUUGGACAGCUUCUUUACCUGACUAAUUUGGAGAAGUCUCAAGACAAAACAUCAGGAGGUAUCAAUCCAGAGCCUUGUCCAAUCUGUGCUCGACAACUGGGAAAACAGUGGGCAGUGCUGACCUGUGGACACUGCUUCUGUAAUGAAUGCACUUCAAUUAUAAUUGAACAGUAUAGUGUGGGAUCUCAUCGAAGCUCCAUCAAGUGUGCUAUCUGCCGCCAGACCACAUCACACAAAGAAGUCUCCUAUGUCUUCACCUCGGAGAAAGCAAACCAAGAGGAUGAUAUCCCUGUGAAGGUUUUAAACCACUUUUCUAUUUCCAUAUUCCUAUGAUGGAACAGUUUUGAAAGAUGAAAAAAAGAGAGAAAAGAAUUCUUAUAAAGUGACUCUAUCUGCCUGUUUGUUAGUCGACAUCUUAUGUAUCUGUCAUUGUCCAUGGUCAUGCCAUUGCAAGGAAAUUGUAUUCAUUGGUUGAAUCCUUCAGUUUUCAAGGGUAGUCAUUCUACAAAAGUGGAAGCUGUGGUCAGAACUCUGAUGAAAAUACAACUUAGAGAUCCAGGGGCCAAAGCACUCGUUUUCUCAACGUGGCAAGAUGUAUUAGAUAUUAUUUCAAAAGCUCUCACCGACAACAACAUGGAAUUUACACAAAUCAGUCGCAUUAAGACAUUCCAGGAGAACCUUUCAGCGUUUAAGUAUGAUCCCCAAAUCAAUAUUUUGCUGCUGCCCCUGCACACAGGCUCUAAUGGAUUAACUAUCAUUGAAGCCACUCAUGUUCUCCUGGUGGAGCCCAUACUGAACCCUGCCCAUGAGCUUCAGGCCAUUGGGAGAGUGCACCGAAUUGGACAGACAAAACCUACUAUUGUACAUAGAUUCUUAAUUAAAGCAACAAUAGAAGAACGGAUGCAGGCAAUGCUAAAAACUGCUGAGAGGAGCCACCCAAGCUCAUCCGGGAAGCAUGCUGAAGCCUCUGUGCUGACUGUGGCUGACCUGGCAGACCUGUUCACCAGAGACAAUGAGGACCUUGAAUGAAUGCCGUCAAAUCAGUCCACACACUUUAAGAUAGGACUGAGCUUUCAUAGAUGGAAAGCAAAGUUACACAUUGAAGACAAAAAAAAAAGUAAAUAUUAGGAAAUAGUAUUUUAGGUUGAAUAAAUUUAUUUUAUUAUACAAUAGCCUAGUAAUAAUUGACAACUAGUUCCUUUUCGGUAUACUGAUUUCACACAUUUACAAGGAAUUUUAAUUUUACACUCCUACUGAAACGUUUACUUUAUGUUCCACAUGUAUAUCUAUAACUGAUAAGGCAGAGGAAUUAAGAAAAGAAGGUAUUGAAUAAUUUUUCAUUAGUAGAUAUAACUAACAAGACAGAGUACAUAAGAAAGAAGGUAACGUAGUCUAGUUUUGUCUGACCUGAUACAUACAGCCAGUGCAAAUGACAUUUUUAAAAGGGCCUUCAGCAUCUUUAGCACAUGAUUCACUAUUAACUUUUCGGUAAUGUUUUAAGAAAAUGCUAAGCUAUAAUGACUAGUUAUUUGCAUGAGUUUAAACUGUAACACUGUCAUUGGAACUUUACAGUGAGUAGUACAGCUUCUAAUAAUAAUCGUUAGGUGGUUAUUUUGUGUUUUAUUACUAAAUGUUAAAAUACUGAAAAACUCAUUUUUCUAUUAUGUUUAAGCGGUAUCAUUGUUAGUGUUUUUAAGUGUAUUAACAUUUACCUACAGUGAGCUCUUUAAUCUUUUUGGUAAGAUUUUUUUGUGUGUUUUAAGAUGAUGUAUCUGUAAAUAUGACUUUUUAAAAAAUCAUCAGUGUACUGAAUUCUUUUCCAGUAUUCCUGUAACUAGUCAUUUUAGCCACUAGUUAUCUAAAUUUACAGUAGAGUUUAUUCAUUUCAGUUACUCUCUCCUUAGGAACUAGUGUUUCAUCUUACUGCUGUGUUCACACAUGCAUAGAACUAUAAGUGGUUGAACUGUCUCUUCUGUGAAGAAUUCAUAGAUGACUUUGAAAUCACAAAAUAACGAGUUGCUUAUUGUAUCCUAGCCUUGUGUUGUAAUAUAAAUGUUCUUUCUUUCCUUUAGCUGUUGAAGUUUUAAGUGACCCUCAAGAUUCAUUAGCGCCUACCUAACUGUCCAGAAAACUGUACUAGAAAUAGUCCCUGGGUCUCCUUCAUCCAGUGAACUCUGGUGCUUAAGCUAAGGUGCAUUUUCCUAUCCAGGUUUAUAGGUGACAGUUUAGCUGAAGAAGGCACAUUUUGGGUGCUUAUUCUUUAGUUGAAGGGAGGUAUGCAUUGAUUCUUUUAUAUGAAAUUAAACAUAACAUUUUUAUAGCUGUUCUACAUUCACAAAGAGCUUUUCUGUGUAUUCAUGUAGUUAAUAUUCACAACAGUCCUGUGAAGUGGAUAUAAUUAAUGUCAUUCCUAUUUUGAAGGUAAAGAACUAAUGCUCAGGAGGAACCUUUCCUAUGAUAUGUAGCAAAUAGACAAAGUAGUCCAGGCCCCCGGCUUCAUAUUUACUGUUCUUCUACUAAGUCAGAUACAUACCAUGCUGGGGUUCAGAAGCCUUGUGUUGGUAAUUUAAGAAUGAGAUUGUUGAUGUACUUAUUUUUGUUUCCUAAUAUUUCAUGUGCUUUGUUCUAGGAAAAACAAUUUGAUAUGCUUCAAUUUAAAAAAUAACAUAUAGAUAGAUAUCUGUAUAAGUAUUAGAGGGAAACUACUCUUAUUUAUUGCAGUAAGAUACCUCAAUUAAAUAUUUUAAUGGAAAAUAAAAUUGUGGAUUGUUUAAUUUCUAAGGUUUGGAUCAUCUGAACUUUCAUUUUUAUUGACUCAACAGAUAGUAUCAAAUUGCCAAUUCUACACUAUUCCAUAUGUUAUUUAUAUUUGUUAUUUCUUCUAAAACAAUUAUGAUAAUUCUCUUACUUCAGAACUAAUGAGUACAAAUAUAUAAUCCCCACAUCUUGGCUGCAAACAAAAGAAAUUUUGGUUUCCCUUCUUAAUCAUUUUAUACUCUCUGAAAUAUCACAGUAUGGGCACUGUGCUAGCAAACCACUGAGCAUAAGUGAAAUGCCCAGUCCUUACAGAUUAUAUGUAUUUAUAUUUAGGGAAUUGUUUUUCAAGUAACUCCAGAUGAAUUUACUUAGGACUGAAGAUUUAUCUAUGUAAAUCACAAACAUUCUACAAACUUGGCCUAAAAUCCAAGUAACUUUACUGUGUUUAUUGCAGCAUCAAUAUUUCUCUAUGUGAUCUUAAGGAAAAGGACCAUUUUUAGAAACUGGUCCUUUUGGGAAGUAUAACUCAGUCUUUUUAUAUGCUUAGUAUGCACAAAUCUCUGGAUUUCAGACCCCUCCAAAAAAAAAUCCCUUUCACAUCUUUAAUAACAUUAAUAAUCUCAACAUGGAACCAACACUUAACAAGCAAUACUAGUUCAUAACAAAAGCAACUGCUUAUAAAUAUCUAACAGGUUUGUGACUAUCAGCUAAAAACGUCUUCCAAGAGACAAAAGCAAAAAUGUCUUUCAUCGCUUCUCUCAUUUGCUAACCCUUUCCAAAAUCAGUAUGAUUGAGCUGUGUAUUAAACUUGCAGAUACCUUCUUGGAAAUGUGAAAAACACCUGUGUUAACGAAUGACUACAAUUCUACUUAAAGUGAAUAUAAGACAUACUCAGUUUUUGUAGUGUAUAAUCGGAAUUCCCACCAUAAUAUGCCAUUUUAUAUAUGCAGUAACUUUGCUGUGUCCAGGUAAUUUCCUUGUAGUCGUUUAUUGCCUCUGGCUCUUACAGUUUUUUCAUCCCCUUUUCCUGGAUCCUUGAACAUUGGAGGUGGGUGUGUGUGACAAAUGUCCUAUUUGAGGAUGAGUAUUCUGCAGUCUGUUAUUAUCUGUACCUAAACCAGUUGUGAGUCUCUCUGUUAAUCAUCUACUGCAUAAAGAUGUUCUCUGAUGAGGAUUCAGAUACAUUAAUUAGUGAGUAUAAGAGUAAGUUUAAUAUUACAGCCAUGUAGUAGAAUAAUGGUAGUAGGUUUUUUUCCUAGGUGACAAUUCUAUGAGACACCACAGACUAACAAAAAGCCCCGUAACAGGACCUGGUUACGUCUUUUGCAGUUGUUGGCCUUAGAGAUCCUACACAUACAUCCUGAUGUUACAGUUUAUUGCCAAAAUCCCUGUUUAUGCUAUAGAACUUGACUGUAAAAACCAAUUGCUGAAGACACUGGAUACCUGAGUCAUAAACAUGGAGAAAUCAAACUGGCACUGACCUGGAAGCUUCUUCCUCGUGGUCAUGGAAGAUGCUGUGCAUGCUACCGAAUAAGAAAAGUAAUUCUCUUUGUUCCUUCUGUGAACCCUGUGAUUGUCAGCCUUGUUUAUUUUUUUAAAUUUAAUUAAAAUCUAUUAUUUCUCCUCCCUCACCUCUGUCCUCAUCCAUGUUUAAAUACACUCCAAAUUUGCCUCCCCUUUAACCAUUCAUUGUUGAUACAUAUAAAUGAACAAACAUAAACAUAUCCUGCUGAGUCUAAUUCAGUGUUGCUUGCUUGCCCUUGUGUAUAUGUUUCUAGGGCUGGUUAUGCAAUAUCCAAUACUACUUGGUAAUGGAUAACCAUUUGGGGGCUCAUCUCUCUGGAAGACCAGUUCUCAGCAGUUGUGAACUGUUUGUAGCUCUUCAUCAGGGAGUGGAGCCCUGUAAGAUUUCCCCUAUUUAUGUUGGGGUGUCAGUUGUGGUUGGAAUUAUUCAAGUUUGGUUUUCUGUUUUAAUCUUAUAACUUGCCCUCUUGGAUCAAAGUUGUACAGGAAAAAUGUGGACAAAUCAUGCUGAAUAAUAUAUUUCUACCCUGUAUUAUUAAAUGAUAAGUUCAUUUCCAGAAGUGCUUAACAUAACUAAUUUAUUCCUAAUUAUGGAUGAUUUAUUCCAGAAUAGUGUUUAUGGUAAUCUUCUCAGGAUGAUUCUUUUAAGAUAGAGGAUCCGGCAAUAAAUAUAUUUUUAGAAACUCA